rnacentral:lncRNA from 1 species
GAAGCAAAUGGCUGCUUUUAAAGAGGGAUUCUUUGAACUAAUACCACAGGAUCUCAUCAAAAUUUUUGAUGAAAAUGAACUAGAGCUUCUUAUGUGUGGACUGGGAGAUGUUGAUGUGAAUGACUGGAGGGAACAUACAAAGUAUAAAAAUGGCUACAGUGCAAAUCAUCAGGUUAUACAGUGGUUUUGGAAGGCUGUUUUAAUGAUGGAUUCAGAAAAAAGAAUAAGAUUACUUCAGUUUGUCACUGGCACAUCUCGGGUGCCUAUGAAUGGAUUUGCUGAACUAUACGGUUCAAAUGGACCACAGUCAUUUACAGUUGAACAGUGGGGUACUCCUGAAAAGCUGCCAAGAGCUCACACCUGGUAAGCAGUUGUUUGGACCUUGAUAGAACAAAGCCUCAGAGAGUGAGGUUCCUCUGUUAGUCUAGCCACAGCAGGGCUAGUCUCCUCUGUGUUAUGUCGGUG